AUAAGGAGAACGAGCAGCAUUUUCGUUUUGUUUGUUUUUUUUAUUAUUAUUAUUAUUAUUAUUUUGAUCAUUUCCUAGUUUAAAAAAAAAUCGUAUAAAGCCCGGCGUUUAAACCGUAUAAUAAUGUAUAUAAAUUAUAUAAAUAUAUAUAUAACUCAAGUAAGUAACUUGCCACUGUCAUAUCCACGCAGAUUUGACAUGUCUACGAGACCGAUCAAAGUUUCGCAACACCGAGGGUGUUUUUCUUUCCUUUUCCUAAAGUCCGAAGUUUCAAAAAAGUUAUACAGAGUUUACUGUAAAACUUGGGGAAGAGUGAAAAUAAAUUACAUCCAUUUCUUGUUCCACAUUAAUAACAUCGUCCUCAUGUGACCCGGCGCGUAAUAUGCUUGCUUAAGAUAGUAUUUUCUCUUUGUAUCUUAAAAUUGUGCGGCAAAAAUGCUUUUCCACUUUCCAUUGCACACGAUAUUUCCUUUUUUUUUUUUUUUUAUACGAAAACUUUGUUAGGGGAUAUAUUCUUUUGG